rnacentral:rRNA from 1 species
UACAGAGGGUGCGAGCGUUUAAUCGGAAUUACUGGGCGUAAAGCGUGCGUAGACGGUUAUUUAAGUCGGGUGUGAAAGCCCCGGGCUCAACCUGGGAAUUGCAUUCGAGACUGAAUAGCUAGGGUACGGUAGAGGGAAGUGGAAUUUCCGGUGUAGCGGUGAAAUGCGUAGAUAUCGGAAGGAACAUCAGUGGCGAAAGCGGCUCCUGGACCAGUACCGACGUUCAGGCACGAAAGCGUGGGGAGCAAACAGG